UACAGAGGUCUCAAGCGUUGUUCGGAAUUACUGGGCGUAAAGGGUGCGCAGGCCGCGCGGGCAGUCAAAUGUGUAAUUCAGGCUCAACCCUGCACUGCGCUUGAUACUUCCGCGCUCGAGCUUGGAGAGGAGUCUGGAAUUCUCGUGUAGCAGUGAAUGCGUGAUAUCGAGAAGACACUAGCUACAGACUCUGACAAGAUGCU
rnacentral:rRNA from 1 species